UACGUAGGGUGCAAGCGUUGUCCGGAAUUAUUGGGCGUAAAGAGCUCGUAGGCGGCUUGUCGCGUCGGCUGUGAAAACCUGGGGCUCAACCCCGGGCCUGCAGCCGAUACGGGCAAGCUAGAAUUCGGUAGGGGAGACUGGAAUUCCUGGUGUAGCGGUGAAAUGACGCAGAUAUCAGGAGGAACACCGGUGGCGAAGGCGGUUCUCUGGGACGGUACUGACGCUGAGACGCGAAAGCGUGGGGAGCGAACAGG
rnacentral:rRNA from 1 species